AAAAAAGGCUUCUAUUGUGAGUGGCACACAUAGGGCAAUUCAAUUGCUCUUGGUGUGGAAUCGACAUCAAGAGAUUUUAGAAGCAUAAUUGUUUGGUACCUAGGAAGCUGGUGUUCACUGGUCUCGGCACCCUA
rnacentral:snRNA from 1 species